rnacentral:rRNA from 1 species
GAGUAAAGAUUUCGGUCGCUUUGGGAGGAGCUCGCUUACUAUCAGCUUGUUGGUAGGGUAAUGGCCUACCAAGGCUAUGACGGUUAGGGGGUGUGAGAGCAUGACCCCCAGCAUUGGCACUGAAACACUGGCCAAACACCUACGGGUGGCUGCAGUCGAGAAUCUUCCACAAUGGGGGAAACCCUGAUGGAGCGAUGCUGCGUGCGGGAUGAAGGCCUUCGGGUUGUAAACCGCUUUUGUAGGGGACGAAAUUUUUGACGGUACCCUUUCGAAUAAGAGGUUGCUAACUCUGCGCCAGCAGCAGCGGUAAUACAGAGACCUCAAGCGUUAUCCGGAUUUACUGGGCGUAAAGCGUCUGUAGGGGGUUUAUUAAGUUCCAAGUAAAAUUUCAAGGCUCAACUUUGAAUUCGCUUGGAAAACUAAUAAACUGGAGUCUAGCAGAGGUGCAUGGAACUUGUGGUGUAGGAGUGAAAUCCGUUGAUAUCACAAGGAACACCAAAGGCGAAGGCAUUGCACCGGGCUAGCACUGACCCUGAGAGACGAAAGCGUGGGGAGCAAAACGGAUUAGAUACCCGUGUAGUCCACGCCCUAAACGAUGAAUGCUAAAUGUUCGGGGAUUCGAACCCCCUGGGUGUUACAGCUAACGCGUUAAGCAUUCCGCCUGGGAAGUACGGCCGCAAGGCUAAAACUCAAAGGAAUAGACGGGGAUCCGCACAAGCGGUGGAGCGUCUGGUNUAAUUCGACAGUAAGCGUGGUACCUCACCAGGGUUUGACAUCCCUUGACAGCCUUGGAAACAAGGUUUCCUUCGGGCAAGGUGACAGGUGCUGCAUGGUCGUCGUCAGUUCGUGCCGUGAGGUGUUCCGUUAAGUCGGGAAACGAACGAAACCCCUAUUGCAUGUUGCAAUUUCUCAUGCAAGACUGCCCGGAUAUACUGGGAGGAAGGUGGGGAUGACGUCAGAUCUGCAUGGUCCUUAUACCCUGGGCGACACAGGCGCUACAAUGGCAGAGACAAAGGGUUGCAA